GACAGCAGCAGCCGCGGUAAAACGAAGGGUGCAAGCGUUAAUCGGAAUUACUGGGCGUAAAGCGUGCGUAGGCGGUGAGUUAAGUCUGCUGUGAAAUCCCCGGGCUCAACCUGGGAAUGGCAGUGGAUACUGGCUCGCUAGAGUGUGUCAGAGGAUGGUGGAAUUCCCGGUGUAGCGGUGAAAUGCGUAGAGAUCGGGAGGAACAUCAGUGGCGAAGGCGGCCAUCUGGGACAACACUGACGCUGAGGCACGAAAGCGUGGGGAGCAAACAGGAUUAGAUACCCCAGUAGUCCCUGUCUCUUAUAC
rnacentral:rRNA from 1 species